CCUACGGUGGGCUGCAGUGAGGAAUAUUGGUCAAUGGGCGCGAGCCUGAACCAGCCAAGUCGCGUGAGGGCAGACGGUCCUAUGGAUUGUAAACCUCUUUUGUCGGGGAGCAAAAGACGCCACGCGUGGCGGUCCGAGAGUACCCGAAGAAAAAGCAUCGGCUAACUCCGUGCCAGCAGCCGCGGUAAUACGGAGGAUGCGAGCGUUAUCCGGAUUUAUUGGGUUUAAAGGGGACGCAGGCGGAAGAUCAAGUCAGCGGUAAAAUUGAGAGGCUCAACCUCUUCGAGCCGUUGAAACUGGUUUUCUUGAGUGAGCGAGAAGUAUGCGGAAUGCGUGGUGUAGCGGUGAAAUGCAUAGAUAUCACGCAGAACUCCGAUUGCGAAGGCAGCAUACCGGCGCUCAACUGACGCUCAUGCACGAAAGUGUGGGUAUCGAACAGGAUUAGAUACCCGAGUAGUC
rnacentral:rRNA from 1 species